CUACGGGGUGCUGCAGUAGGGAAUAUUGGGCAAUGGGGGAAACCCUGACCCAGCAACGCCGCGUGAGGGAAGAAGGUUUUCGGAUUGUAAACCUCUGUCCUUGGGGAAGAAAAAAAUGACGGUACCCAAGGAGGAAGCUCCGGCUAACUACGUGCCAGCAGCCGCGGUAAUACGUAGGGAGCAAGCGUUGUCCGGAAUUACUGGGCGUAAAGGGUGUGUAGGCGGCAUGUUAAGUCAGAUGUGAAAUGUAGGGGCAACCCCUGAACUGCAUUUGAAACUGGCAAGCUUGAGUGCGAGAGAGGUAAGUGGAAUUCCUAGUGUAGCGGUGGAAUGCGUAGAUAUUAGGAGGAACACCAGUGGCGAAGGCGACUUACUGGCUCGUAACUGACGCUGAGACACGAAAGCGUGGGGAGCAAACAGGAUUAGAUACCCGCGUAGUC
rnacentral:rRNA from 1 species